rnacentral:lncRNA from 1 species
UAUUAAAAAGUGAGUGAAACCCCUACUCUAGCCAAAACCUUUUAGUUAUAGGAAAAUAUGUCCAUGAAGAUAAAUAUAUGGAAAAUGUAGCCUUUUUAGUGUUGAAUUGACAAAGUUACCCUUAAUAAUAUAUAUUGAUUAAUUAGUUUUUUUACUAAUUUUUGAAAAUUCACAAAAUAGUAAAAUCAAAAAAAGUUAAAACAAAAAACAAAACCUAGAUUUUGGGUUAAAUCAUAUUUGGGUAAAAAAAAGUUACCGUCUUCUUCCCCAAGUUACCACCGUCUCCGGCGGCUUUUUUUCCGGCGACCUCUUUCCGGCGGUCUCGUGAGGCGGUCUCCAAGGCCGUGUUGCUUCUGUUCCUCUCGUUUCCGGUAAGUCACAUCCUCCUAAUCUCUCAUAACACGGAAUUUGUCGAGAGGUUUUUGAAAAAAUGGUGUUUUGAAAUUUUGUUGGGUAAAUCUUGAUAAUAGAGGGAUGUGUUAAUCCCCUUUGUAAUGAUGUUCAAACAACGAGAUUUGGUUGAUUUGGUUUAGUAUUAGUGAAUAUUCUUGUUGUUGUUGGUUCUUGAUUUGUGAUUUUCGCAUUGUGUUCAUGGUUACACGGAAAUAUACUUGUUUACACACAAAAAACGAUAGUUACACACAUUAUCAAUAGUUACACACUUUAUUCGAGUGUUACACACAAUUUCGGAAGAUAAUGUGUGUAACAGUGCAAAAUUUGCACUGUUACACACAUUAUCUUCCCAAAUUGUGUGUAACCGUUCAAAAUGCUUCAUUACACACAUUAUCGACCACAAAUGUGUGUAAUGGUUCAAACUUCACGUUUACACACAAUUUCGGCUGAUAAUGUGUGUAACAGUGCAAAUUUUGCACUGUUACACACAUUAUCUUCUGAAAUUGUGUGUAACACUCGAAUAAAGUGUGUAACUAUUGAUAAUGUGUGUAACUAUCGUUUUUUGUGUGUAAACAAGUAUAUUUCCGUGUAACCAUGAACACAAGGCCGGUUCGGACGUCGCAGCGGGAGAGGAAAGGAGACGCAGUGGGAGAGGAGAGGAGAGGAG